GUCACGCCCCAAUCCUCAGGCACGCGCACAUCCCUUAACUUUUGGUCGAUUUUAAAAUGCGAUAUCCCAGGACUAUAUAUAUAUAUAUAUAUAUCGCCGACCCCUUUCAUUUAUAUAUACACAUGCGGAAGCAAUUAUAAAUCCCCAGACAAUAAAGCAAUGGGAUAUACAAGUAGGACUAGGAAAUUGAACCUGAAAACCAACACCUUUAUGCUCAUAUACAAGCCAUACUAAAACGAUUGGUUUCUACUCAAAUUGAUUCUAUAACAAUCGUCAUCAAGAUCCUACUUUGGAUCAUCCUCGGGAUUCUCCUUCACGUACUCCUCUUCAGGUUCCUCAACAGGGAUCUCCUCAUCAGAUUCAUGCUCCUUAGGCUCCUCAUCCAGGGCCUGAAAUGGUUAUUCAAUAACCACUGAGACAACGUCUCAGCAAGUCUACCCCCUAAGACCCAAUUAGUAAACUAAUACACCUUAGGGCUGCCUAUGCACAACAUGAGUCAGAGGACUUACCUUGGCCUCAGAUUCCACCUGCAUAUUAGCACAGAUCAUAUAGGCACCCAAGCAAUCAUAUUAUAGAUCGAAGCAUCGAUCUAAUCGACUUAGUCGAUUAUAUGCCAACAAGACCACUCACGGUCAUUUCCAUUCAGUCAAUCAAUUGAUAUCAUACGAUCCACACAUCUAUCAAUUCAUAUCAUCUAUUAAACCAUACCAUCUAUUCAUCCAUCAAUACAAUUACGGCUCGCACAAGCUGAAAUGGAUGCAAUGCUCUCACAAGCUGAUAUAGAUGGUAGCUCGCACAAGCUGAUAUAUACAUAGAUGAUAGCUCGCACAAGCUGAUAUAUGGAUCGUUGCUCUCACAAGCUGUCAUACAGUGCUCACACAAGCUGACAAUGAUGCUCACACAGGUUCACAAUGAUGCUCACACAAGCUGAUACAUAUAUAAGCCAAUUGCUCGCCAAAGUUGAUAAUUCAAUAAUAACCCAACUCAUACCUCAAUUCAAUCAAUCAAUCCAUCCAAUCGAUUCGAACUGGUCAUACAAACCAAUUACGGUGCUAAAAGCCAACACCGGGUAUUUUCAAGUUAAAUACCACAACUUCAUCAAUUUCACACAAUUCCACACUUUUGGAAUUAUUAACCAUAAUCAUCAAUCACUCAAUUUCUCAAUUUAAACAUCCAAUUAACCCAAACCGACCGCACUACUGCGAUCAUCGCGAAAUUCUAACGACCGGCCAUCUACCAAUCAAUCAUUUAAUCUCAAUAAAUUCCAAAUCAAAUUAGGGUAAAUCCCUAAAAUAUCACAAUUUACUCAAUUCCAUACAACGUGGAGCUCAAAUAAAUAAACGGACUGCACCACGAUGAUCAGCACGAGAUUUCGGUCGUCGGCCAUCAAAAUCUUAAUUUCCGAAAAAUAAUUAAUUUAUUUAUUAAUUUCGAAAAUUAAAUAAUUAUUAUUAAAAAUUCAAUUUAGCUCAAAAUAAAGCCUGAUUACAUAAACGGACUUCACCACGGUCAUCAGCAUAAUUUUCCGGUUCCAGACCAUCUCAGUUGAAUUUUCGGAAAAUAAAUAAAUAAUUAAUUAAUUUCGAAUAUUGAAUAAUUAAUAUUAAAAAUCCCAUUUAGCUCAAAUGAAAGUCCGAUCAAAUAAACGGACUUCACCACAGUCAUCAGCAUAAUUUUUCGGUUCCAGACCAUCUCAGUUGAAUUUUCGGAAAAUAAAUAAUUAUUUAAUUUAAUUCCGAAAAUUAAUAAUUAAAUACCAAAAAUUCUACUUAGGCCCGAAAAGCCUAAUUAACACCCGAUAAGGGACGGGAAAAAUCCCAAGAAGCAUCCAAUAAAUAAUACAUGCAAUUCUCUAUCUAAUUACACUAAUUACAUCACUAAUAUACAAAGCAAUUAACUAAUAAUCACUAAUCAAUUCUAAUCUAACAACCUAAUUAUACUUAAUUAACACUAAUCAACCUUUAAGUAUAAUUAGCAAACUAAGUAGGCAUUAGUGAGUAAAACUCACUCAAAACGACGGGCUCGACGCGAGGAUCAACUUUCCUCAAGCGGGCCGAGCAUCCGGGCUCGGGAAGGUGGCCAAAACGGGCCAAACAGUUGCUGCAAACCCAUUUUCUGCAACCCUUUGAUCGCUGCUGGUCGGGGCAGAUUCGGGGCUGGUUGAGGCGGCCAAGGGCGGCUGAGGGCGAGGCGGAGCUCCGGCGAGCUGAGGUGGGGCACACGGUGGCCGGAGGUGGCCAAUCCGCCGCCUAAAUGGGUCGACCAGCACCCCGCCUGGACGCACGAGCAGAGACCGGCGACUGAGGGGAGGGUGAGGAAGAGGCGGAGGGCGCGGGCGGAGCAGACGACGGCCCGGCAUGGCUGCGACGGCGACGGCCUUUGCUCUGGUGGCGGCUGGUUGCAACGGCAAGCUGCCGUCUCUGUUUCUGCUGUGCUGAGUUCGAACAAGAGGGACGGAAGAGAGAGGAUGCGGCGGAGAUGGGCGACGGCAGCAGGACGGUGGACGGCGGCGACUCUGGCUCCAGUUACUUGCUGCGACGACGCCGAGAGGAACCGCUACUCCGGCCUGCUGGUCUUCCGUUGCUGCUGAAGAAGAAAGCCAAGGAAAAGAGGAAGAAGAUGGAGAUGCUCGACGGAAGAGAGAGGGGAGAAAGAAAAAACCAAUUUUUCUUUCUUUUCUCUCAC
rnacentral:lncRNA from 1 species